UUUGUUUACUGCUGGAGCAGCAGAAGAGUUCCCGCCCCUAGGCCAAAAAACAAACUAAAACUGUAUCCAGCAAGGGAAUUUCCAAUAGUUACGCAGAAGUGCUUGGACUGACUUGUGCAUUUGCAGACAGGAUGCACCUCAGUUUAAUAUCUCAGAUGAAGGAUUGUUUAAUGAGAAUGUUGCACGUGAGCCCUGCAAUCCUCCACUGGCAGAUCAAGUGGUCAAUCAUGGUUUGAAAAGCAGGUGAUACCACCACCACCACCAACAACAAGCCGGCCACCAGGACAAGCAGACAGUGAGCUGAAAAAUAUCAGACAUGUCCAAGACCAGAAAACGCAGAUACACAGUCACUACA